rnacentral:rRNA from 1 species
AAUGGGCGCAAGCCUGAUCCAGCCAUGCCGCGUGAGUGAUGAAGGCCCUAGGGUCGUAAAGCUCUUUCGCCAGGGAUGAUAAUGACAGUACCUGGUAAAGAAACCCCGGCUAACUCCGUGCCAGCAGCCGCGGUAAUACGGAGGGGGUUAGCGUUGUUCGGAAUUACUGGGCGUAAAGCGUACGUAGGCGGACUAGAAAGUUAGGGGUGAAAUCCCGAGGCUCAACCUCGGAACUGCCUCUAAAACUCCUAGUCUUGAGAUCGAGAGAGGUGAGUGGAAUUCCAAGUGUAGAGGUGAAAUUCGUAGAUAUUUGGAGGAACACCAGUGGCGAAGGCGGCUCACUGGCUCGAUACUGACGCUGAGGUACGAAAGUGUGGGGAGCAAACAGGAUU